rnacentral:rRNA from 1 species
CGGGUGCACUGAUCCAGCCGGGCCUUUCCCUCUGUGGAACCCCAUGGCCUUCACUGGCUGUGGUGGGGAAACAGGACUUUUACUUUGAAAAAAUUAGAGUGCUCCAGGCAGGCCUAUGCUCGAAUACAUUAGCAUGGAAUAAUAGAAUAGGACGUGUGGUUCUAUUUUGUUGGUUUCUAGGACCGCCGUAAUGAUUAAUAGGGACAGUCAGGGGCAUCAGUAUUCAAUUGUCAGAGGUGAAAUUCUUGGAUCUAUUGAAGACUAACUACUGCGAAAGCAUUUGCCAAGGAUGUUUUCAUUGAUAAGGAACGAAAGUUAGGGGAUCGAAGACGAUCAGAUACCGUCGUAGUCUUAACUAUAAACUAUGCCGACUAGGGAUCGGACGAUGUUAUUCUUUGACGCGUUCGGCACCUUUCGAGAAAUCAAAGUGCUUGGGCUCCAGGGGGAGUAUGGUCGCAAGGCUGAAACUUAAAGAAAUUGACGGAAGGGCACCACCAGGGGUGGAACCUGCGGCUUAAUUUGACUCAACACGGGGAAACUCACCAGGUCCAGACACAGUGAGGAUUGACAGAUUGAGAGCUCUUUCUUGAUUCUGUGGGUGGUGGUGCAUGGCCGUUCUUAGUUGGUGGAGUGAUUUGUCUGCUUAAUUGCGAUAACGAACGAGACCUUAACCUGCUAAAUAGCCCGUACUGCUUUGGCAGUUCGCCGGCUUCUUAGAGGGACUAUCGG